AUGAAUGGUAUUUUUUGAAAUUGUAGAGGAGCAGGUAAAAAAGGAAUGAGUACCUUCUUCUCUGACAUGAUAAAAGAUCAUUCCCUAGAUUUCCUAUGCCUUCAAGAAACUAAGAAAAAGAACUUCCCUCCUAAAAGUAUAAGGAAAAUAGACCCUGCGGCCCAUUUUGAUUGGAAUUGGAUUCCAUCAAUUGGCAAGGCAGGGGGGAUCUUGUGUGGUGUGAAGAGAGAGACCUUAGAUGUUAUAUCCUAG
rnacentral:rRNA from 1 species